rnacentral:rRNA from 1 species
GUAUUCCGCUCCAUAGCGUAUAUUAAAGUUGUUGCAGUUAAAAAGCUCGUAGUUGAAUUUCGGGGUCAGUAGGCUGGUCGUGCCACAGGUACGUACUGGUCUCACUGAUUCCUCCUUCCUGAUGAACUGUAAUGCCAUUAAUUUGGUGUUGCGGGGAAACUGGACUGUUACUUUGAAAAAAUUAGAGUGUUUAAAGCAGGCUAACGCUUGAAUACAUUAGCAUGGAAUAAUGAAAUAGGACGUUCGAUCCUAUUUUGUUGGUUUCUAGGAUUGACGUAAUGAUUAAUAGGGAUAGUUGGGGGCAUUAGUAUUCAAUUGUCAGAGGUGAAAUUCUUGGAUUUAUUGAAGACUAACUACUGCGAAAGCAUUUGCCAAGGAUGUUUUCAUUAAUCAAGAACGAAAGUUAGGGGAUCGAAGACGAUCAGAUACCGUCGUAGUCUUAACCAUAAACUAUGCCGACUAGGAAUCGGAUGAUGUUAAUUUUUUAAUGACUCAUUCGGCACCUUACGGGAAACAA